rnacentral:misc_RNA from 1 species
GUGGCACUAGGACCUCGAAAAGCCUAUCAAAGAAAGACACAUCAUUCAACCAUCAAAAUUGUUAUUCAGCUGUGUGUUACAAUAUGUAAUCUCCAGUAUGAUAAACAGUGAAGGAAAAAAGGGUUCAUUGAUUAAAUUUUAAGUAAACAUUGAAUAACAAAAAAUUUGAAACUAUUUACAAGCCAUCAACGGAAAACCAACUCAGAGAGAUGCUGGUACAUGCCCCUACCCCUUGAACCCUCUAAAUAACAAAAUAGAAAGAAUUUUAUAAAAUAGAGACAGCUUUCGGAACAGAAAUUUUCCACCAACAUCAAGUUUCAGGGCAAAGGCUACACUAACUGAUUAGCAAGCCAGAGAAAUUUUCAUUAAGAGUUUUGGAAUUAAAGUCCUUUCUACAAACUCAACAUUUCAGUUGCUUUGCUUCCGUAUAGUUCUAGAGCUGGAGGCAGAGGAACAAAAGUUAGAUUCACAUCUUGAGAUUCCAAAGCAAUAGUAGGAAUUAGCAUUGAGAAUCAAAUAAAAUGUACAGUACGAAAGAAGUAUAAAUUUGAAGAAUUUGGGUGUGCAUCCAUUAUAUCUGUGUUAUUUCUGUUUCUUCCUUUAUGAGUUCUGAUACAAUCUCAAACUAGUUAUAAAUUCUUCUUCCAACUUACAUACUUUGGCAUAACAAGCUCUUACUUUUGCAACACCAGAGUUUUCAUAACAAUUUAUUCAGGCUAAACUUAAGCAAAGAAGGAUCAAAUCAAGAAACAAAACAAAGAGGUAUUAAACACCAAGAAAAUUACCAUAUACUUUUCAUAAGCCAUUG